UCAUUAUUGUUUUCCACUUUU
rnacentral:piRNA from 1 species